GCGUGGGUGAAGACGGCCUGCGGGUUGUAAAGCCCUUUUAGUGAGGAGGAAAGCCCUGGUGCGAACAGUGCUAGGGGGUGACGUUACUCACAGAAAAAGCACCGGCUAACUCCGUGCCAGCAGCCGCGGUAAUACGGAGGGUGCAAGCGUUAAUCGGAAUUACUGGGCGUAAAGCGCGCGUAGGCGGCGCGUUAAGUCUGAUGUGAAAGCCCUGGGCUUAACCUAGGAAUGGCAUUGGAUACUGGCGUGCUAGAGUGCGAUAGAGGGUGGCGGAAUUCCGGGUGUAGCGGUGAAAUGCGU
rnacentral:rRNA from 1 species